UGCAUGUCCAAGACUAAACAAGUUGUCAGUGAAUCUGCGUAUGGCUCAAUAAACGAACCAUAACCUCCCCGAGAACAAAGUACAACUGGAUAACCGUUGUAAUUCAAGGGCUAAUCAUGCGUCAAUAAGGGCCUCUUCACUGGGGCCCUUGCAUUUGUUAGUCUCAAAUCAACAUCGUUGAUGAAUCAUGACAAACUGCGGAUCCUCACGUUGCAACACACGGAGGAUGACUCGGUCGGGUCUUUCCCCUAUCAGGUCUCGUAGGGAGUGUAUUGUACUCUCUAGCCUUUGACGGGUAACGGAGAAUUAGGGUUCGAUUCCGGAGAAGGAGCCUGAGAGACGGCUACUACAUCUAAGGAAGGCAGCAGGCGCGCAAAUUUCCCAAUGCUCAUCGAGCGAGGAAGUGACGAUCAAUAAUAAUGUGUGGCGCAUUCGCGCUAUGCAAUUACAAUGAGUAAAAUGUACAAGCGUUUUCCAUGAUCAAUUGGAGGGCAAGUCUGGUGCCAGCAGCCGCGGUAAUUCCAGCUCCAAUAGGAUAUAUCAAAGUUGUUGCCGUUGAAAAGCUCGUAGUCGUAUUUGUGGUGGGUAGAAGCUUGGUGUCUUUUGGUGAAUGCGAAAGCGUUUACCAGCGCCCGCCGCCCUGCCAUUUUGUGGAACAAAGCAAGGUUUGCGAUGCAGCUUUACUGUUGCUCGCGAGCCACGCUCCACUCCGCCNCUGAGAGCAAAUUGGAAGAGCUCAAAGCAGGCUUUACAGCUUUGAACAUCUUAGCUUGGAAUGACAAANUACGACCCUUUGGUUCACUUUUGUUGGUUAUGAAAAAAANAAGGUAAUGAUAAAUAGGAACAGUUGCGGGGACACUCGUACUGGAAAAGUCAGAGGUGAANUUCUUGGAUUUUUNCCACGCCGAAACGACUGCGAAAGGCAUCUGUCCCGGAUUUUUUCAUUGAUCAAGAACGNAAGUGCGGGGGAUUGAAGAUGAUUAGAAACCAUCGUUGUUCGCACAGUAAACGAUGCCGACUCGGGAUUGGGUUCGUUUCGCAACGCGCCGUAACAGGCGCGCAUUAGAAAGACCCCAGCACCGUAUGUGAAAACAAAGUCUUUGGGUUCCGGGGGGAGUAUGGUCGCAAGGUUGAAACUUAAAGGAAUUGACGGAAGGGCACACCAGAGGUGGAGCCUGCGGUUUAAUUUGACUCAACACGGGGAAACUCACCAGGUCCAGACAUGAGAAGGAUUGACAGUUUGAAAGCACUUUCUUGAUUUCAUGGUUGGUGGUGCAUGGCCGUUCUUAGUUGGUGGAGUGAUUUGUCUGGUUGAUUCCGAUAACGAACGAGACUCUCAGAGUAAACUGGCUUGUCAGCGGUAACUCGCGUUACCCUGGGCCUCUUUUCUCGACAAUUCGUUUUAAACGAAAGGAAGCGGAGAGCAAUAACAGGUCUGUGAUGCCCCUCGAUGUUCUGGGCUACACGCGCGCUACAAUGACGAGUUCAACGAGUUUUCUCCUUGCCCGGAAGGGUGUGGGUAAUCUUUUCAAUGCUCGUCGUGAUGGGGCUAGAUUAUUGUAAUUAUUAAUCUUCAACGAGGAAUCUCUUGUAAGUGCAGUUCAUCAGACUGCGCUGAAUGCGUCCCUGCCCUUUGUACACACCGCCCGUCGCACCUACCGAUUGGACGAUCCGGCAAGAUGUUUGGAGUUGUGCUGCCCAGGACUUUCGGGUCCUUCGCUGGCGCGACGAACGCUCCUCAAACCUUAUUGUCUAGAGGAAG
rnacentral:rRNA from 1 species